UGAAUGAGAAAAACAAGUAACGCACCACUCCAAUUCUCCACUCUCUCCAGCAGCAGCCACACCCACAGCGACUCUCUCACCGCGACUUCGUUCUUCUUCUUCACGGAAGAAGAGAAACUUCACACUUCGCUCAGAGAAUCUGUUUUCCAUCUCUACUGGAUCAACCGCCUUUUGACUUGGUCCUUGCUAUAUGAAGGAAGUAAGUUUCUACUAUUUGUUACCUUGUUCUUGAAAACUUUGCGACCCGAUACUCUUGGUGAUUCCAUUGCUUCCUCAGUGAAUCCAACUCCACCCUAGAUAUGGUUGCUCGAGAUGCAAUGGCAGAGAAUGACGGUCGAUAGAAGCAAGGAUGAAUUACUAGCUAUAGUCCGCGACAGGGAUCACUUUGGUCUUUGAGUCAUUAUUUGUCCCCUCUACUCCUCGCAUUGAAUCCCUUGAUCGGGACACUUUGCCACUGCCUGUUGCCGUCGAGCCUGUCAUGCAGUAUCCGGGCCAACCAAUCCAGUUGAGAUGGUCGAAGAUAUUGAAGUUGUUGAUGUGGAGAUAGAAGCAGAGACAAACCUUAUUGAGUUGAAAAGACAGCAUCGACACAAGAGUAGGUGUGAGGGGUCGUCUUAGGAUAAAAUUUAAAAGGUUGUGAAAAUGAAACCUCCCCCUUCCUAAUUGCUUUAAUGAGAACUCUUAGAGGCCUUGUAAAUAAAAUAAUACAGAUGCAGAAGACCCAAUUCACCUUGAGGAAAGUAGGUCGAAAAAGUCUCACAAAAAGCAUUCUUUGAAGGAGAAGACAUAUGUUGCUGAGGGUUCUUGCACUAGACAUGCCGAGGAGGAUAGGGGUCAUCAGUUUAAAUCUCCUGUAUACAUGGCAGUUGAGGCUUUCAAUCAUCUCACUCUGGAGGGCAUUGACAAAGAUAUUAAAAAA